rnacentral:tRNA from 1 species
AGUCUUGUAGCUCAGCUGGUUAGAGCGCUACACUGAUAAUGUAGAGGUCGGCAGUUCGAGUCUGCCCAAGACUAC